rnacentral:lncRNA from 1 species
AAGUGUUCAUAUAGUUCUUGAUUUGUUUUUGGGACUGAAUGAUCAAUGAAAUGCCAUAGAAUUAUGUUGAAAUGUUGCACAAGAUGUAUGCAUGUCACAAAUAUAUUGUCAAAAGAGAGAUCAGCUAGUUUCUUAUUAUCUUUGGCAAAUUUAAGAUAUAUUUUCAUUUUUAUAGGAAGGAUUGGUAAUUAAACCUUUUAUAUCAUUCUUCUUCAUUUUCUAUAUAUGUAUAGUGAGAUUAUGUACAAAACUAUCCAAAUAUUAGAUGAUGUUACAUCAUUUAGUUCAUUUAGAUAGAUGAAGGGAUUUUAGGCAGUACUUCUUUG